rnacentral:rRNA from 1 species
CCCUUAGAUGUUCUGGGCCGCACGCGUGCUACACUGAACGGUUCAAUGGGUAAGGUAGUGCGAAAGCAUGACCUAAUCUCGAAAUCCGUUCGUGCUGGGGAUAGAAGCUUACAAUUAUCCUUCUUGAACGAGGAAUACCUUGUAAGCGUGAGUCAUCACCUCACGCUGAAUACGUCCCUGCCCUUUGUACACACCGCCCGUCGCUCCUACCGAUUGAGUGUUCCGGUGAGGCUUUGGGAGAAUGGCCUCAACAUGAGUUUAUCGUGUUUUGCCGUUUGAACUUAGUCAAACCUUAUCACUUAGAGGAAGGAGAAGUCGUAACA